AUACUUAUCAAAGAAUUAUUAUUUUCGCUGUAAAUGUAUUAGGAAUCACAUUAAUCAUAGAUAACAGCGAUUUAUAUUCCAUAGGGUGUCUGUACCUACCAUUUUUGUACAGAUCUAGGUCCCUCCUCUACCCUCAUUGUACACCUGGAUAUAGCUAUAACCAAGUAGUCACAGGCUGUAUACAUUAAAUUGUACUUAGUUAAUUCCACGGGAAGACUUACAGAAGUAGGUAUUUGACACUUAAUGGUAUAAAUUAUUCACAUUAUUUUUGGUAUAAUAAUAUUAAUAUAGUAUGGUACGGUACAUAUCUGAGUCUUGCUGAACGGAGGUACAUUUUACUAUUCAGGGUGUAGUGUUUAUUUAUAUUGACAAUAUUCUUAGGUAUUAAGUUGUAUAUUAUGUAUGUGAUAAGUUAGGGCCUUUUUAAGUCAUAGCAAUAUUUUAUAGUUAAUAGUUCCUUAUAUUCUGAUACAAUUCCUCCUAUUUUAUUUCAUUUUCUGUUUUUCAUUUUAUGUUCAAUAAAUAAUUGUAGUUAUAGGUUGUAGUGAAAGGAAAGAUCGAGGGAAGGAGAGGACUAGGAAGGAAAAGACUAUCGUGGCUCAGAAGUAUCCGACAAUGGACAGGGCUAAAUUUUGAAUAGCUAUACCAUGCCCAAAUUUUAAGGCUGGUAGCUUCCAUGACAAUUUGCCGAUAUGUUGCCGACAAUUUCUCGAUCUUGCGAAACAUGCGACAAUUAUUCAUCAGCUAAUAAGCCGUGGCCAUUGACAAAGGUUUAGGAGCCAUGUAACAUCCUGAUCAUAGCAAGACCAGGGCAGCAACACCACACUGCUGAGAGAAACGAGGGGAGGAAUUCCUCGAACAUCCCUUAGGAUAUUCAACAGAAAGGUACAGGAAAUAAAAAGUUUACCAAAUCAUUUUAUAUACACUAUUUAUUCAGAUAAAAAAAAUUAACAAAAAUCAUUCUAUUAUGUACAGGCAACCAAUUUAAUUUUCUGAAACUGUGACCGAGACCCUGCUGGUCACCGGUAUAAAAGUUAUAAAGGUAAAAAAGGUACUCAGCUUUAAGUCCUCUUGUCGGAGUCACACAGUUCUUAUGGGAGGUCUCCAAUCUCUGCAGAACUUUCUGUUGCUGUCGGUAGUUGUGAGAAUUCUAGGGCUAUCUUGUUGAAGCCAUUCUUCUGAUGCAUCAGUAGAUCAGUAGUUGGAUCCAGGAUACUGUGGGCUGUUGCGAGAAGUCGCUCUCGCGUUCUGCUCUCCAAGAUAGUUUUCUUCAGCUACAGUUUGCUUCCCCAUGUGGUGAUCGCCGGCAGCUUUAUUCCCACUCCUUUACGUGGCAAUGGAAAAA
rnacentral:lncRNA from 1 species